AUGUAACUCUAGCACCCCCAAGGAGAUACACUAUGUUGAAUGAAUCCACUGUCCUGCAAUUCAUUGAUCUAUUUCUUCAGUUCUUCCAUCUCGAUAUGGCUCAUGCGGUAAAGGGCCACCGAGAUAGGCUGGGUACCAGGUUAAAGAUUUAUAGUAGACUUAACUUCUCUUUCCAUUGGUAGUCUGGAUAGUUCGUUAGGAAAUAUAUCUGAGAAGUCUCGGACUACCGGAAUCUCUU
rnacentral:lncRNA from 1 species